UACGUAGGGUGCAAGCGUUGUCCGGAAUUAUUGGGCGUAAAGAGCUCGUAGGCGGUUUGUCGCGUCUGCUGUGAAAACUCGGGGCUUAACUCCGGGCCUGCAGUGGGUACGGGCAGACUAGAGUGCGGUAGGGGAGACUGGAACUCCUGGUGUAGCGGUGAAAUGCGCAGAUAUCAGGAGGAACACCGGUGGCGAAGGCGGGUCUCUGGGCCGUAACUGACGCUGAGGAGCGAAAGCGUGGGGAGCGAACAGG
rnacentral:rRNA from 1 species